rnacentral:rRNA from 1 species
AUUGAACGCUGGCGGCAGGCCUAACACAUGCAAGUCGAACGAGUGGCGGACGGGUGAGUAAUGUCUGGGAAACUGCCUGAUGGUGGGGGAUAACUACUGGAAACGGUAGCUAAUACCGCAUACCAUCGGAUGUGCCCAGAUGGGAUUAGCUAGUAGGGGGGGUAAAGGCUCACCUAGGCGACGAUCCCUAGCUGGUCUGAGAGGAUGACCAGCCACACUGGAACGGAGACACGGUCCGGACUACUACGGGAGGCAGCAGUGGGGAAUAUUACAGAAUGGGCGCAAGCCUGAUGCAGCCAUGCCGCGUGUAUGAAGGAGGCCUUCGGGUUGUGAAGUACUUUCAGCGGGGAGGCGGUACCCGAAGAAGAAGCACCGGCUAACUCCGUGCCAGCCGCCGCGGUAAUUC